GCCAUGCAGCUGCAGGACCCGCUGCAACGCACGGAUGGUGCUGGACUUGCAGGUGAGCUGGGCCGAGGGUGUCCUUGUGCCGGGGGUGCACGGCUGUGAGCGGGGCCGGGGACGAGGGUGGGCUCAGCUCGGCUGCUCUCCCCAGCCCGUGCCCGGCUCCCUGGCUCCGCGGAGGUUUUGCUGCUGGCUGCUCAAAGGCCCGACAAGAAUCUUACAGCAGCUGACAGAACCAGCCUAGCUCUCGCUCGGUUCAAAUCCCUCGAGGUGCCAAUCUGCAUUUCCAGGCACCUACGUACCUCUGCACGUCUCCCGUCGGGGCACUGAUCUGGCACAUCAACCUUCAGAUAAAACGGAUGUUCCCAGAUCUCAGCAGUUUCUGAAUGCUUUCACACGGCGGUGCGAGUCCCUGCCUAUCUGGGGGAGAGGUGCUCCAUCAGAGGUUGCCAACCUUUAUUAAACUCCUCUGUGUUGUGCUUGUGGCUGGAGGGCAGCCGGGCCAGGCCCCGUCUUGGUCUGCGCGUGGAAAAAGUCACUGCCUGGAGGUGCUGAGAGCCCGAAAAUGGGAGCAACCGGGUGAUGAGGGAUGCAUGGCCCACAUACAGCUCAGAUUUGAUGCUGCUCUCGCCGCAGCACUGUGCAGCGUUGGGCUGGGGCCAGCACCACACCGGCCACCGACCAGCGGGGGUCUGUGGGGACCGGCAGUGCCCGUGGGCAGGGUGUCAGAGGCAAGACCCAAACUUUUAUGCACUCUUUCUAAGUGCUAA
rnacentral:lncRNA from 1 species